CUCGCCACAUGAAGCUGGAAUUGCUAGUAAUCACAGGUCAGCAUACUGUGGUGAAUACGUUCCCGGGCCUUGUACACACCGCCCGUCACACCAUGAGAGUUGAGAAUACCCGAAGCCCAUGUCAAAGUGGUCGAAGGUAGGCUUGAUGAUUGGGGUGAAGUCGUAACAAGGUACC
rnacentral:rRNA from 1 species